GAGUUUGAUCCUGGCUCAGGAUGAACGCUAGCGACAGGCUUAACACAUGCAAGUCGAGGGGCAGCGGGGUGUAGCAAUACACCGCCGGCGACCGGCGCACGGGUGAGUAACGCGUAUGCAACUUACCUAUCAGAGGGGGAUAGCCCGGCGAAAGUCGGAUUAAUACCCCAUAAAACAGGGGUCCCGCAUGGGAAUAUUUGUUAAAGAUUCAUCGCUGAUAGAUAGGCAUGCGUUCCAUUAGGCAGUUGGCGGGGUAACGCCCACCAAACCCACGAUGGAUAGGGGUUCUGAGAGGAACGGUC
rnacentral:rRNA from 1 species